rnacentral:tRNA from 1 species
GCCUGGGUGGCUCAGUUGAUUAAGCAUCUGGCUUCAGCUCAGGGCAUGAUCUCCUGGUUUGUAGGUUCAAGUCCCACAUCAGGCU